rnacentral:misc_RNA from 1 species
GCGGAAGGAUCAUUACAGGGUUUAUUUCCUGCCCUUCCAGGGUAGAAACCCCAUCCUUGUGUAUAUUAUGUUUGUUGCUUUGGCGGGCUGCCCCCCUAGGGGGGCCUGGGCUUCGGCUCGGCUACGCCCGCCAGAGGACCCCUUAACUCUGAAUUGUUAGUGUCGUCUGAGUACUAUUUAAUAGUUAAAACUUUCAACAACGGAUCUCUUGGUUCUGGCAUCGAUGAAGAACGCAGCGAAAUGCGAUAAGUAAUGUGAAUUGCAGAAUUCAGUGAAUCAUCGAAUCUUUGAACGCACAUUGCGCCCCUUGGUAUUCCGAGGGGCAUGCCUGUUCGAGCGUCAUUGAAAAACUCCUGCCCUGCAGGGUCUUGGGCUCCGUCGCGGGACGGGCCUGAAAACCAGUGGCGGCGUCCGUCGACCCUAAGCGUAGUCAAUCUCCUCGCUACAGGGCCUCGACGGGUGGCUAGCCAUAACCCCAACUCUCAAUGUUUGACCUCGGAUCAGGUAGGGAUACCCGCUGAACUUAAGCAUAUCAAU